AGCGCAGGCGGUUUCUUAAGUCUGAUGUGAAAGCCUUCGGCUUAACCGGAGAAGAGCAUCGGAAACUGGGAGACUUGAGUGCAGAAAAGGACAGUGGAACUCCAUGUGUAGCGGUGAAAUGCGUAGAUAUAUGGAAGAACACCAGUGGCGAAGGCGGCUGUCUGGUCUGUAACUGACGCUGAGGCUCGAAAGUGUGGUAGCAAACA
rnacentral:rRNA from 1 species